rnacentral:lncRNA from 1 species
AAAACCAAAUGCAUAAAACUGACAUACAAAGAAUAGAUAAAAAUUAUCUGCUAUUAAAUUUGAAAAUGAAGCCUACAGGCAGAGUAGAUCCAGGUACAAGUCUCCAGUAAACAAUCAUUAUAGCAGAUAUACCGUUGCACAAAAUUGUCAAUGUGCAAUACAUAUGAAGGUUUAAGUUAACAUAAGAAAGAUUAGAGCAAAAUCUGACAUACCUCUGGUUUGAUAAUUGCCAUCUCACUUUCUGACAUUUGAUGAUAGCCUCUUAGUACGUAAGGCAAAAGAGAAUAAACACAUAGAUACAGAGGAAAUUACUAAACUGCUCCUCCAAGCUCAAAGUUUCUAGACUGGACAAUAUAUAACGAUGUUCCCAAGCACAAACACUUCUGAUUAUAUAAUAGGUAGUGGCUGUUAACAAAAACAACACCAAACAAUAGACAUUUCAAGAACAUGUUUGUCCUCGUUUCUUCUUGGGAUAGCCUCUUUAACAAUCAUCCAGUCAUAGGCAUCACUUCAGUAGGAUGUUAAUAAAACAAUUGGGUUAUCAAGUCACUUGCUUGACCUACCAAAAGAAAGAGAAAAAUUAGAAAGAUGAUACAGGAUCCUUCCUAUAAACAUAACAAUAUAUGCCAAUAACAAAAUGCCCAAAACAGAAAGAUCUGCCUGCACUACAACAGGCUCUAGCAUCAAACUAGAGGCUCCAUGCAUGGGUUUUUCUCCGAUUGCUUCUUUUGUUCCAAAUGGACUUCCUGACCUGACUCCUCUAUUUCUCUAAACUAGUAAUAUCUUUCUAAAUUCAAAAAUCUGAAUCAGAUUGUUUACCAGCUCUACACCCAUGGGAAUAUGCAAGUUGCAGACAAUAAAGUACAAGCAAAUAU